rnacentral:pre_miRNA from 1 species
UUAACUCAAAUUUAUAUGGAGUUGGAACGUUUGCCGCUAGAGGCGCUGUUACAAUUGCAUACAAAUUUGAGUUA